rnacentral:rRNA from 1 species
GGUUCAGGACGAACGCUGGCGGCGUGCUUAACACAUGCAAGUCGAGCGAUGAAGCUUCUUCGGAAGUGGAUUAGCGGCGGGCGGGUGAGUAACACGUGGGUAACCUGCCUCAUAGAGGGGAAUAGCCUUCCGAAAGGAAGAUUAAUACCGCAUAAGAUUGUAAUAUUGCAUGAUAUAGCAAUUAAAGGAGUAAUCCGCUAUGAGAUGGACCCGCGUCGCAUUAGCUAGUUGGUGAGGUAACGGCUCACCAAGGCGACGAUGCGUAGCCGACCUGAGAGGGUGAUCGGCCACAUUGGGACUGAGACACGGCCCAGACUCCUACGGGAGGCAGCAGUGGGGAAUAUUGCACAAUGGGGGAAACCCUGAUGCAAGCAACGCCGCGUGAGUGAUGACGGUCUUCGGAUUGUAAAGCUCUGUCUUCAGGGACGAUAAUGACGGUACCUGAGGAGGAAGCCACGGCUAACUACGUGCCAGCCGCCGC